rnacentral:rRNA from 1 species
GGUACAAGCGUUGUCCGGAAAUUUUGGGCGGUAAAGAGCUCGUAGGUGGGUCUGUCACGUCUGCUGUGGAAACGCAAGGCUCAUCCUUUGCGCGUGCAGUGGGUACGGGCGGACUAGAGUGCAGUAGGGGAGUCUGGAAUUCCUGGUGUAGCGGUGAAAUGCGCAGAUAUCAGGAGGAACACCGGUGGCGAAGGCGGGACUCUGGGGCUGUAACUGACGCUGAGGAGCGAAAGCAUGGGGAGCGAACAGGAUUAGAUACCCUGGUAGUCCAUGCCGUAAACGUUGGGCACUAGGUGUGGGGUCCAUUCCACGGAUUCCGCGCCGUAGCUAACGCAUUAAGUGCCCCGCCUGGGGAGUACGGCCGCAAGGCUAAAACUCAAAGGAAUUGACGGGGGCCCGCACAAGCGGCGGAGCAUGCGGAUUAAUUCGAUGCAACGCGAAGAACCUUACCAAGGCUUGACAUACACCGGAAUGUGCCAGAGAUGGUUCAGCCCUUUGGGCUGGUGUACAGGUGGUGCAUGGUUGUCGUCAGCUCGUGUCGUGAGAUGUUGGGUUAAGUCCCGCAACGAGCGCAACCCUCGUUCUAUGUUGCCAGCACGUGAUGGUGGGAACUCAUAGGAGACUGCCGGGGUCAACUCGGAGGAAGGUGGGGAUGACGUCAAAUCAUCAUGCCCUUUAUGUCUUGGGCUUCACGCAUGCUACAAUGGUCGGUACAGAGGGUUGCGAAGCCGUGAGGCGGAGCGAAUCCCAGAAAGCCGGUCUCAGUUCGGAUCGUAGUCUGCAACUCGACUACGUGAAGUCGGAGUCGCUAGUAAUCGCAGAUCAGCAACGCUGCGGUGAAUACGUUCCCGGGCCUUGUACACACCGCCUCUGUCUUACG